UGAGAAGCUCAGGUGAUCGCCGGUCCCGCCUUUUGUGCGGGGCGGGAGGAAAGUCCGGGCUCCAAAGGGCAGGAUGCUCCCUAACGGGGAGUGGGGGCGACCCUAAGGAAAGUGCCACAGAAAGGAAACUACCCCCCGGCUAAUGCCGGAGGGCAAAGGUGAAAGGGUGAGGUAAGAGCCCACCAGUUUCCCGGGUGACCGGGAAAGCUUGGCAAACCCCAUCCGGAGCAAGACCAAAUAGGAAGGCGUUUGAGGGCGGCCCGUCCGAGGCAUUCGGGUUGGUUGCUUGAGACGCCGGGCAACCGGCGUCCUAGACGAAUGAUCACCGCCCCUUUUUAAAGGGGAGACAGAACCCGGCUUACGAGCUUCUCACUUU
rnacentral:RNase_P_RNA from 1 species